ACUAUUUUGGCAGAGGAAGUGUAGUGAAUUUAGAAUUCAUUGAUGUAAGGUUAUUUACAAGUAGUA
rnacentral:tRNA from 1 species